rfam:Salmo salar isolate Sally breed double haploid chromosome ssa10, whole genome shotgun sequence.
UGUAUUCACUACUGUAAGUCGCUCUGGAUAAGAGUGUCUGCUAAAUUACUAAAA